UAAAUCCUGAUAUUACUAACGAAGUGUGAUUUCCUUGGAAGGUGGAUUCUCGAACAAUAUAUCGUCAUCAUUGAAUUAUUGUUAUUAGUGUGAUAAAUAUAGCUAGCAUG